rnacentral:rRNA from 1 species
AUUGAACGCUGGCGGCAGGCUUAACACAUGCAAGUCGAGCGGGGUGAUGGUGCUUGCACUAUCACUUAGCGGCGGACGGGUGAGUAAUGCUUAGGGAUCUGCCUAUUAGUGGGGGACAACAUCUCGAAAGGGAUGCUAAUACCGCAUACGUCCUACGGGAGAAAGCAGGGGAUCACUUGUGACCUUGCGCUAAUAGAUGAGCCUAAGUCGGAUUAGCUAGUUGGUGGGGUAAAGGCCUACCAAGGCGACGAUCAGUAGCUGGUCUGAGAGGACGAUCAGCCACACUGGGACUGAGACACGGCCCAGACUCCUACGGGAGGCAGCAGUGGGGAAUUUUGGACAAUGGGCGAAAGCCUGAUCCAGCAAUGCCGCGUGUGUGAAGAAGGCCUUCGGGUUGUAAAGCACUUUUGUCCGGAAAGAAAUGGCUCUGGUUAAUACCUGGGGUCGAUGACGGUACCGGAAGAAUAAGGACCGGCUAACUACGUGCCAGCAGCCGCAGUAA